AUUGAACGCUGGCGGCAGGCCUAACACAUGCAAGUCGAGCGGAUGAAGGGAGCUUGCUCCUGGAUUCAGCGGCGGACGGGUGAGUAAUGCCUAGGAAUCUGCCUGGUAGUGGGGGAUAACGUCCGGAAACGGGCGCUAAUACCGCAUACGUCCUGAGGGCGACAGUGGGGGAUCUUCGGACCUCACGCUAUCAGAUGAGCCUAGGUCGGAUUAGCUAGUUGGUGGGGUAAAGGCCUACCAAGGCGACGAUCCGUAACUGGUCUGAGAGGAUGAUCAGUCACACUGGAACUGAGACACGGUCCAGACUCCUACGGGAGGCAGCAGUGGGGAAUAUUGGACAAUGGGCGAAAGCCUGAUCCAGCCAUGCCGCGUGUGUGAAGAAGGUCUUCGGAUUGUAAAGCACUUUAAGUUGGGAGGAAGGGCAGUAAGUUAAUACCUUGCUGUUUUGACGUUACCAACAGAAUAAGCACCGGCUAACUUCGUG
rnacentral:rRNA from 1 species